rnacentral:rRNA from 1 species
CAGCAGCCGCCACGGUAAUACGUAGGGUGCAAGCGUUAAUCGGAAUUACUGGGCGUAAAGCGUGCGCAGGCGGUUAUAUAAGACAGAUGUGAAAUCCCCGGGCUCAACCUGGGAACUGCAUUUGUGACUGUAUAGCUAGAGUACGGCAGAGGGGGAUGGAAUUCCGCGUGUAGCAGUGAAAUGCGUAGAUAUGCGGAGGAACACCGAUGGCGAAGGCAAUCCCCUGGGCCUGUACUGACGCUCAUGCACGAAAGCGUGGGGAGCAAACAGGAUUAGAUACCCGUGUAGUCCCUGUCUCUUU